AGAGUUUGAUCAUGGCUCAGGACGAACGCUGGCGGCGCGCCUAACACAUGCAAGUCGAACGGAGUUAAGAGGAGCUUGCUUUUCUUGACUUAGUGGCGAACGGGUGAGUAACGCGUGAGUAACCUGCCUCAGAGUGGGGGACAACAGUUGGAAACGACUGCUAAUACCGCAUAAGACCACGGGGUCGCAUGGCCCUGAGGUAAAAGGAUUUAUUCGCUUUGAGAUGGACUCGCGUCCAAUUAGCUGGUUGGUGAGGUAACGGCCCACCAAGGCGACGAUUGGUAGCCGGACUGAGAGGUUGAACGGCCACAUUGGGACUGAGACACGGCCCAGACUCCUACGGGAGGCAGCAGUGGGGGAUAUUGCACAAUGGGGGAAACCCUGAUGCAGCGACGCCGCGUGGAGGAAGAAGGUUUUCGGAUUGUAAACUCCUGUCGUAAGGGACGAUAAUGACGGUACCUUACAAGAAAGCCACGGCUAACUACGUGCCAGCAGCCGCGGUAAAACGUAGGUGGCAAGCGUUGUCCGGAAUUACUGGGUGUAAAGGGAGCGCAGGCGGACCGGCAAGUUGGAAGUGAAAGCUAUGAGCUCAACCCAUAAACUGCUUUCAAAACUGCUGGCCUUGAGUAGUGCAGAGGUAGGCGGAAUUCCCGGUGUAGCGGUGGAAUGCGUAGAUAUCGGGAGGAACACCAGUGGCGAAGGCGGCCUACUGGGCACCAACUGACGCUGAGGCUCGAAAGUGUGGGUAGCAAACAGGAUUAGAUACCCUGGUAGUCCACACCGUAAACGAUGAUUACUAGGUGUUGGAGGAUUGACCCCUUCAGUGCCGCAGUUAACACAAUAAGUAAUCCACCUGGGGA
rnacentral:rRNA from 1 species